GUGGCACAUGGUAGACCGCGUUCUCAGACAGUUCGGUAGGAAGCAACAUAUUCCGGGACUAUGUGCUGAGAUUGAUCCUUCUCAUUAUAAACGUGACAAGCGGUAUGCUAUAACAGUGGAGGAUCAAAAAAUUUUUACACAAACGGACUUUUUAUGGGAAAAUCGUCUACAAAGGGUAAUUCUGGCCGAGUAUGAAACUCAAGACCCAGAGUCAUUAUCAGAGUAUUUUUGUUGGUAUCGACGUCACUCGCGCACUUUCAUAGGAAAUCCUGCACAUAAUAUGCGUAGAGGAUACCAACACAUGGCAGGCAGGCAUGAGGCACUGGCUUUAGGGCAUCAAGAAUCGUACAGGUUGGCUCAGGAGACUAUCCAAGAUCCAACCAAGUCUAAUGAAGUGAAGGAAAUAGCAGAGAUGUUUAGCCACAUUAAUACAGAGUCCAUGGUUGCUGCCUCUCUGGGGACGAUGUUGAGUUUCGCUCCCAAUUAUACACCACCGGCAGAGUAUGUUGAGCCGUCUACUGUGUAAGUGCCUCGUCAUCAACGUCCUAAUGUACCAAGACCUGUGGCGCGUGGUAAAGGACGCCAAUCAGGUAACAGACGGGGUCGAGGUCCCGUGGAUCACCAGUUGGUUGAUGAGGAAGAGGUUCGUUUUGAUCAAGAUAUACCCAGCUCAACGAUGCUUGCAGCUGAUGAUGCAUAUUACCCAAUAAUAGAUUUUGGUAUGUCCAACUCAUUGACCUCGGUUCUCGAGGUCCAAUCACCAGCGGUAAUCAGAAGUGAGGGGCCUUUUCAGGCAUUCGCAUCGUCUGAGCCUAUUAGCCUCGCAGUUAUGACCCAAUAGUUUGGUGUUCAGAUAGGUAGCUCUUAUGGGAUGACUGAGGGGCCUUUACCUGCAUUCACUGGACAGAGCUCUUCAAUUGGGAGGAGACUGAGUUUUACUGACUCUCCCAUGACAUUUGAUGUUGGAUCCUCGCACAUUCCUGUGUCGGAUGUACAGACUUUAGAGCCACAGGAUGCGGGUGUGAUACAAGAGGAGGUUCACCAAUGUAGAUCAAAACGAGAGCGCCGGCAAACUCGGAGUGGCACGGGGGGGACAAAGGGACACUGUAAAAAUUGAAUUUUUAUUAAUUAUUG